CGCCUAACGGCCAAAAUUGUUCGCGGAUCGAGCUUAAUAAAAGUUGAGGACCGCAAUGAAGCAAUCGAAGAUGCUCCCUUUCAAAAAGUAACUUUGUAAAUUGAUGAUGAGGGUCAAUUAAUAUGGGGUGUCUUUUUCCGUAGGUACAUUGUAACGCAUUUUGUAUCCGUCCACCGACACGUAAAAUGCCGGAAGAAUCCAUAAAAGGAUUUAACGAAAUAAUGUUGGACGUUUUUGAAAGUGUUUUGUCUUUAGAAAGAAUAUUUAUUUCAUUAAAAAAGGAAUCCUUUUGAGAGUGUUUGGCAAUGGUAAGUAAAGAUUCAUAUACUUCUUUAUUAGUUAGUACCCCUGUCAACUUAUUUUCAAUAUUUUUACAAUUGUAUAAAAAUCUAUGAAUAUAUGCAACAACUCUCUGUAAUUUGUAUAACUUUGAAAAUUUAUUAAAAGGUAUUAUAUUUUCGAUAAUUUCUUCAUUUUGUACUAAUAAAAUUCUUUUUGUUUCAGGUACCGACGUGAGAUUAUUUGUACUAUCUACUGGCCAAUUUGUUUCAGGUUCAUACAAGAAUGAAGGACCCUCCCACCACAACGAAGAUGUAAUAAGCUGCUGUGGCGAGACUCCUCUAGAAGCUAAAUCGGCGGGAUUUAAAUGGAUACGAAGGAAGACUGACUACCGCUGUCGAGGAGAGCCUUCACUAGAUUUUGCAAGCACUUAAGCGGCAACGAGAAUGGUGAUGGCCAGGACGCAGACAGUUUUUACAGAGUUUGUAUUUACUAAUUGUAGUUGUUUUGCUAUCCAUAGACAUAUUUUUGAACUGUUCACACUCGUAUAAUAAAUGAUUACUAUUGCAAACAACACAAUUUCUUUUAUUUGUAGCUACCGAGGACGUAACAAAGGACCUUGUAGGUUUGUUUUCUUUGUAAGUAUUAUGUCUUUCAAGUUUAAUUGAAUCAGUACGACCGUGUUGUAUGGUUUCUAAAAUAUUAGCUCGACUACGUAAAAAUUCAAAGAAAUCAGCUAACGUAGGUGACAGAUCCAAUGAAUUACGAUGCUCCUCCCAUUUGCGACCUGUGGCAGGAUCCAGCUUCGAAGUCAUAAUAUAGAUAACCAAAGUAUCCCAAAAUUGAACAGGUUCUUUUAAUUCCUCCAAGGAUCUCAAGUUUUUUGUGUAAUAAUCUACCAUAUAACGUAGGGAUUUGUGUGAUUCUUUUCCUAAUGCAUCAAAACUAAAUAAACAUUUAAUAUGAUUGUUUAUUAAUAUAACUUUAUUAUUGAAUCUAUCACAAAGAAUAUUCCAUGCUAAAUCAUAAUUGCUAGAGGUGAAAUUGAUGGACUUAAUAACAAUACUUGCACUACCCUCUAGUGACGAACGCAAGUAAUGAAAUUUAUUGAU